AUUGAACGCUGGCGGCAUGCUUUACACAUGCAAGUCGAACGGCAGCGCGGGCUUCGGCCUGGCUGCGAGUGGCGAACGGGUGAGUAAUACAUCGGAACGUGCCCAGCAGUGGGGGAUAGCUCGGCGAAAGCCGGAUUAAUACCGCAUACGACCUGAGGGUGAAAGCGGGGGAUCUUCGGACCUCGCGCUAUUGGAGCGGCCGAUGGCAGAUUAGCUAGUUGGUGGGGUAAAGGCCUACCGAGGCGACGAUCGGUAGCUGGUCUGAGAGGACGACCAGCCACACAGGGGGUGAGCCGCGACCCAGGGUCCGAGGGACGGCAGCAGUGGGGAAGUUUGGACAAUGGGCGAAAGCCUGAACCAGCAAUGCAAGGUGUGUGAUGAAGGCCUGCGGGUGGGAAAGCGCUUUUGGCGGGAACGAAAAGGACUGUCCCAAAACCACGGUUCGAUGACGGUACCCGCAGAAUAGGCACCGCCUAACUACGU
rnacentral:rRNA from 1 species